rnacentral:RNase_P_RNA from 2 species
UUGGAAGGGCGGGGAAUCGCCCCGCUCUUUCCAGGUCUGAAAACAACGGGCGCCUGGGAUACAGCGGAACAGUUCAGAAUUGGAAAGAGCGGGGAGGAAAGUCCGAACACCGCAGGGCGCGAUGCCGCGUAACCGCGCCGGUCAAACGGCGGGGAUGCACGCGGGCGGAAAAUCGAAAGAUUUUUCGACGGAUAGUGCCACAGAAAAGAGACAGCCCAGCUCUUCUUAAAAUUGUCGGAAUGGCGGAGGUUCGACAAUUUCAAGAAGGGCUGGGUGAUGGUGAAAAGGUGCGGUAAGAGCGCACCGCGCGAAGCGCAAGCAACGCGGCACGGAAAACCCCAUCGGGUGCAAGGCCAAAUAGGAAACCCUGGAGCGGCCCGCUCCGGCGGCGCGAAAGCGCAGCGGGUUUCGGGUAUCGGCCGCAGAGACAAAUGAUUCUCUCCCUGGCUCACGCCGGGCAGACAGAAUUCGGCUUACAGCCCUUCCAAAACC